rnacentral:rRNA from 1 species
GAUGAACGCUGGCGGCGUGCUUAACACAUGCAAGUCGAACGGAAAGGCCCAAGCUUGCUUGGGUACUCGAGUGGCGGACGGGUGAGUAACACGUGGGUGAUCUGCCCUGCACUUCGGGAUAAGCCUGGGAAACUGGGUCUAAUACCGGAUAGGACCACUUCUUGGAUGUUGUGGUGGAAAGUUUUUUCGGUGUGGGAUGAGCUCGCGGCCUAUCAGCUUGUUGGUGGGGUAAUGGCCUACCAAGGCGUCGACGGGUAGCCGGCCUGAGAGGGUGUACGGCCACAUUGGGACUGAGAUACGGCCCAGACUCCUACGGGAGGCAGCAGUGGGGAAUAUUGCACAAUGGGCGCAAGCCUGAUGCAGCGACGCCGCGUGGGGGAUGACGGCCUUCGGGUUGUAAACUCCUUUCGCUAGGGACGAAGCGUUUUGUGACGGUACCUGGAGAAGAAGCACCGGCUAACUACGUG